UGCCAGCAGCCGCGGUAAUACGAAGGGUGCUAGCGUUGUUCGGAAUUACUGGGCGUAAAGAGCAUGUAGGCGGUUCGUUAAGUCUGAUGUGAAAGCCCGGGGCUCAACCCCGGAAGUGCAUUGGAAACUGGCGAACUUGAGUACGGGAGAGGAAAGUGGAAUUCCGAGUGUAGGGGUGAAAUCCGUAGAUAUUCGGAGGAACACCAGUGGCGAAGGCGGAUGUCUGGCAGAGUAUUGACGCUGAGGCGCGAAAGCGUGGGUAGCAAACAGGAUUAGAUA
rnacentral:rRNA from 1 species